UGUUUCUGUUUUGUUUUUUCGCCUCGCAGGCCAAUCCAAAACAAAUUACACUUUCGUGUUGAGCCUUUUGAACCAAAAUUAUAUCUUCGUUAGUUUUUGUGAAUUUUAAUAGCUAACAGCACGAUUAUUUUUACAAUUUCUGUUUUAAAUCGAGUGUUUCUGCAUUCCAAAGGGAAAGUGCGUGAUAUUUGGAUGACUAAAAUGGCCAACAAACUCGGAUGAUUGUGGCCAGUAGGUGCUCCAAGAAUAAGGAUGAGGACCUCUGUGCAAGAAAUAUCGUGGUACGAUGCCUAUGGCGGUGAUUCAUGCAUUCCGUUAUCGGGGAAGUAAGGACCAAGCCGCCAACAUAGAUGCCGCCAAAUCCGUCGAACCUGUAUGUUGGCUAUGGGUCAAUGGCACUAAUGGUUUGAACCGCUACAACCCGAAAGAAACGGAACGAGAUAGGGGCAUGAAAUAGCAAACCGGAGAAAUGGAUUUAUCUAAUAAAUUUAUGUAGGCAAA